rnacentral:rRNA from 1 species
UACGUAGGUGACCAGCGUUGUCCGGAUUUACUGGGCGUAAAGGGCUCGUAGGCGGCCAACUAAGUCAGACGUGAAAUCCCUCGGCUUAACCGGGGAACUGCGUCUGAUACUGGAUGGCUAGAGGUUGGGAGAGGGAUGCGGAAUUCCAGGUGUAGCGGUGAAAUGCGUAGAUAUCUGGAGGAACACCGGUGGCGAAGGCGGCAUCCUGGACCAAUUCUGACGCUGAGGAGCGAAAGCCAGGGGAGCAAACGGG